rnacentral:rRNA from 1 species
UGCCAGACUCCUACGGGAGGCAGCAGUGAGGAAUAUUGGUCAAUGGGCGAGAGCCUGAACCAGCCAAGUCGCGUGAAGGAUGACGGCCCUACGGGUUGUAAACUUCUUUUGUCAGGGAGCAAUUGGGUCCACGCGUGGGCUUAGCGAGAGUACCUGAAGAAAAAGCAUCGGCUAACUCCGUGCCAGCAGCCGCGGUAAUACGGAGGAUGCGAGCGUUAUCCGGAUUUAUUGGGUUUAAAGGGUGCGUAGGCGGACGCUUAAGUCAGCGGUAAAAUUGCGGGGCUCAACCUCGUCGAGCCGUUGAAACUGGGUGCCUUGAGUGGGCGAGAAGUACGCGGAAUGCGUGGUGUAGCGGUGAAAUGCAUAGAUAUCACGCAGAACUCCGAUUGCGAAGGCAGCGUACCGGCGCCCAACUGACGCUGAAGCACGAAGGCGUGGGUAUCGAACAGGAUUAGAUACCCCCGUAC